UAAGGCUGAUGGCGACCGGCGCACGGGUGAGUAACACGUAUCCAACCUGCCGUCUACUCUUAGCCAGCCUUCUGAAAGGAAGAUUAAUCCAGGAUGGCAUCAUGAGUUCACAUGUCCGCAUGAUUAAAGGUAUUUUCCGGUAGACGAUGGGGAUGCGUUCCAUUAGAUAGUAGGCGGGGUAACGGCCCACCUAGUCAACGAUGGAUAGGGGUUCUGAGAGGAAGGUCCCCCACAUUGGAACUGAGACACGGUCCAAACUCCUACGGGAGGCAGCAGUGAGGAAUAUUGGUCAAUGGGCGAUGGCCUGAACCAGCCAAGUAGCGUGAAGGAUGACUGCCCUAUGGGUUGUAAACUUCUUUUAUAAAGGAAUAAAGUCGGGUAUGCAUACCCGUUUGCAUGUACUUUAUGAAUAAGGAUCGGCUAACUCCGUGCUAGCAGCCGCGGUAAUACGGAGGAUCCGAGCGUUAUCCGGAUUUAUUGGGUUUAAAGGGAGCGUAGAUGGAUGUUUAAGUCAGUUGUGAAAGUUUGCGGCUCAACCGUAAAAUUGCAGUUGAUACUGGAUGUCUUGAGUGCAGUUGAGGCAGGCGGAAUUCGUGGUGUAGCGGUGAAAUGCUUAGAUAUCACGAAGAACUCCGAUUGCGAAGGCA
rnacentral:rRNA from 1 species